GGCUUACCCGAAGGUGGUGGGUUAUCUCAGUCGAUUAUUCACAGUCAGUUACAGAUUGAGCUCCCUGUUCUACUCUUUCUCCUUCUCACUAAUGCACUUGACUAAUCUUUA
rnacentral:Y_RNA from 1 species